ACUCAGCGGCCCGAUGGUUUUGACUUCCUCGAUGAGGGUAAGACUAUCGAUAGUUGUUGGGUAUUGGAUUGGUGUAUUUGCGGUUGGUAUGCGCUGAGGGCUUUGUGAGCGCAUCUCGACGGGUGUGCAGUGGACCAUACCUUCCCGGUGUGGAACCCUUCAUGCUCUUAGGUAUGUCGCUUGUAAAGUUGAAUAAAUGCCGUCUCCGCUAUGGUGCAUCAGCUUUGAUGAGUUGCUUUGGCUUCAAGUUAGUCGCAUGCGACUGCUAGUCGUCAUUUGUAGCUUGUUGAAGUGUAGAUGCGCCGAGACGUGCACCUCGGUGUGAACGUCGACCACCUAUCCGACCCGUCUUGAAACACGGACCAAGGAGUUUAGCAUAUGCGCAAGUCAUUGGGUGGUAAACCUAAAGGCGCAAUGAAAGUAAAAGUCGUCUCGAUACGGCCGAUAUGGGAUCCGUAUGGCUUUCGAGUUGUACGGCGCACCAUAGCCCCGUCCCCGUUGCAUGCAAUAGGGCGGAGGUAGAGCGCAUACGCUGAGACCCGAAAGAUGGUGAACUAUGCCUGAGCAGGAUGAAGCCAGAGGAAACUCUGGUGGAAGUCCGAAGCGGUUCUGACGUGCAAAUCGAUCGUCUGACUUGGGUUAGGGGCGAAAGACUAAUCGAACCAUCUAGUAGCUGGUUCCUUCCGA
rnacentral:rRNA from 1 species